CAGGGACCCCCUGCGUCCGCCCCGGCCCCUUCCCCACCUUGCUGAGGUCCUCGAAGAAACUGCCAGCCGCUCUGCGGCCGUAGAUGGAGUUCUAAAAUACAGGAAAAUAAAUAAAAGGAGAUGAGAAUGGAAGCUGAACACAAGGGACCACAUCCAGCACAGUGGAAAAUCAAGAGUUCUGAUGUGAGCACAGCAGGCUCCUGAUGUGAGCACAGAGAUGUCAUCUGCCACCCAGUGAUGUUCAUGGCAGACGCAGUGGAGAGGUCCGGGUCGGAGAUGCUGAACUGGGAGGCGUGCACAAGCCGUGGGAACAAGCCGUGCACAAGCCGCUUAGUGCAGGGGUCACCGAGUCCAGCCACCUCCUGUUUCUGUUGGUUUUGUGCAGACUUGAGUAGUUGCAAGAGACUGUAUGACCUGCAAAGGCAAAAAUAGCCACAAUCCAGCUCUUCGCACAACAACUUCUCUGCCUUUGACUGAGAGUGUGCACAUACAAGAGGUACACGUGCAGGUUCGUUUCUUGGGUAUAUUACAUGAUGCUGAGGUUUGGGGUAAGAAUGAUCCGAUCCCUCAGUUGCAUAAUACAGAAUUGCACCUGUGAUCCCAGCUACUCGGGAGGCUGAGGCAGGAGAAUCACUUGAACCCGGGAGGCGGAGGUUGCAGUGAGCCGAGAUCGCGCCCCUGCACUCCAGCCUGGGCGACAGAGCGAGACUCCAUCUCAGAAAGAAAGAAACAAACAGGGCUCGGCGCAUCGGCUCACGCCUGUAAUCCCAACACUUCGGGAGGCCGAGGUGGGAGAAUCACGAGUAGAGAUGGGGUUUCUCCAUGUUGGCCAGGCUGGUCUCGAACCCCCGACCUCAAGUGAUCCGCCUGCCUCUGCCUCCCAAAGUGUUAGGAUUACAGAUGUGAGCCACCGCGCCCAGUCAUCACCAGGGACAUUUAACUGACAUCUUCAUUCCAUCAUCUGAAGAGGCUCCAAUCUCUGGGCUCAAAAAGUAAGAUCAUAGUCACUGGUAGUCAAAAAAAAAAAACAAAAAAACAAAACAAAACAAAAAAAAACGAACAAGGCUAAGGUCAUAAUUUACUCCAAAGAUUAACCUUUGUUAAAUUAUUUUGUUUCCAUGGAACAAUACUUUGAAUUCCCAUCAUGCAAUGCAAUCUGAAAUGAAUAACUUAGCCCCAACAGUGUUCCAAACUAGAAGCUCUUGAUACCUUAGGAGCUUAACAAAUAAGAGCUUGUGUUCUUGAUAAGAAAAUUUCCUUAUCAAUACAUUAGAAAUUGUUUUCCAAAAUUUAAAGACUCUUAAGAAACAAAUAUAAGUCUCUCAUGAGAUAGACGACGCCGUUGGUUGAUUUAAUGGGUUAAAUCUUGGCUCCUGGGGAUCUCAGCUGCGGGGAGUUGUUUAGUCCUUGGCGGUUAUUCUUACAGUCACUGUGUUUACCUAAUUCCUGCAUUGUAUCCUCUCAAGGGUUUCAACACUUUCCAGCAGCCACUCUAACAUCAAAUGAUUGCCAUCAGGAUUAAACAAUUUACAGAAUUCAAGACCCCACCACCCAGGUCUAGGAUGGUGAUCACCUGUACAUGACUCUUCACUCCAGUGACUAUGCCACUCAGUGGUAAUGGAGAGCAAAGCUCUACCAUCUGGUCAUCCUCUCAGCUUGCCCAGUGGGGAUUUGUUGAAGCAAAAAAAAUUUUUUUUUGAGAUGGAGUCUCGCUCUGUCACCCAGGCUGGAAUGCAGUGGUGCGAUCUCAGCUCACUGCAACCUCUGCCUCCUGGGUUCAGCGAUUCUCCUGCCUCAGCUUCCCGAGUGGCUGGGAUUACAGGUGAGUACCACCACGCCCAGCUAAUUUUUUAGUGGAAAUGGGUUUUCACCAUGUUGGCCAGGCUGGUCUCCAACUCCUGACCUCAGGUGAUCCACCCACCUUGGCCUCCCAAAGUGCUGGGAUUACAGGUGUGAGCCAUUGCACCCGGCCUGUUUAAGUAAAUUAAAAUGGAGACCAGGCCUGAAGAAUCCCUAAGCGGACAAAACAAUUUAGGUCACUUAAGUGACUUCAGCCUUGCUUAAAUUGAAAACAUAAGUGAAACUUAACUUGAGCCUUUUUGUUUGUUUUUCAGUAGAGACAAGGUCUUGCUAUGUUGCCCAGGCUGGUCUCAAAGACUAGUCAUCUGCCCUGCCUCGGCCUCACACCCAAAGUGCUGGGAUUACAGGCAUGAGUCAUUUCUUUUUUUUCUUUGUUGAGACAGAGUCUUCUCUGUUGCCCAGGCUGGAGUGCAAUGGCGCAAUCUUGGCUCACUGCAACUUCUGCCUACCGGGUUCAAGCAGUUCUCCCACCUCAUCCUCCCGAGUAGCUGGGAUUACAGGCACUUGCCAUCAUGCCCAGCUAAUUUUAGUAUUUUUGUAAAGAUGGGGUUUCACUAUGUUGACCAGGCUGGUCUUGAACUCCUGACCUCAGGUGAUCUGCCCACUUUGGCCUCCUACCCAAAGUGCUGGGAUUAUAGGCGUGAGCCACCAUGCCUAGCUGAGUUGUUUCUGAUAAAUGCUUCCAUUAGACAGAGAUAAAUUUUAAUCUACCCAAUCAUAAGUAACCAACUAUCAUGAUUAUAUAACUACUGACUUUCCAACAGGAUAAGCCAAAGAAAGCAAUUCUAUAACUGUAACCAAUCAAAUAAUUUCUUUAUUGUGCUUCUACAUUUUCCCAAUAAAAACUUGCAUUUGU